rnacentral:lncRNA from 1 species
AAAGUUUUUAGUCAAAAAUUAAACAUUAUUUACCAAAGAAGAAUUCACACUGGAGAAAAGCUCUACAAAUGUAGAGAAUGUGGCAAAGCUUUUAGUCAAAAAACAGACCUUAUUCACCACAGAAGAACUCACACUGGAGAGAAGCCCUACAAAUGUAAAGAAUGUGGCAAAGAUUUCAGUCAUAAAUCACUCCUUAUUCACCACAGCAGAACUCACACUGGAGAGAAGCCCUACAAAUGUAAAGAAUGUAGCAAUGCCUUUAGUCAAAAAUCAGACGUUAUUCACCACAGCAGAACUCACAGUGGAGAGAAGCCCUAAAAAUGUAAAGAAUGUGGCAAAGCUUUCAGUAGAAAUGUAGGACUUAAUUACCACAGCAGAACUCACACUGGAGAGAAUCCCUACAAAUGUAAAGAUUGUGGCAAAGCUUUCAGAAUAAAAGAAGGACUUACUUACCACAGGAGAACUCACACUGGAGAGAAGCCGUACAAAUGUAAAGAAUGUGGCAAAGCUUUCAGUAAAAAAUCAGACCUUAUUUGCCACAGCAGAACUCACACUGGAGAGAAGCCCUAAAAUGUAAAGAAUGUGGCAAAGAUUUCAGUCAAAAAGCACACCUUAUUUGCCACAGUAGAACUCACACUGGAUAGAAGCCCUACAAAUGUAAAGAAUGUGGCAAAGCUUUUAGUCGAAAAUCACACCUUAUUUGCCACAGUAGAACUCACACUGGAGAGAAACCCUACAAAUGUAAAGAAUGUGGCAAAGCUUUCAGUCGAAAAUCAAACCUUAUUCGCCACAG